rnacentral:rRNA from 1 species
UACAGAGGGGGCAAGCGUUGUUCGGAAUUACUGGGCGUAAAGGGCGCGUAGGCGGCCUGCUAAGUCGAACGUGAAAUCCCUGGGCUCAACCCAGGAACUGCGUCCGAUACUGGUUGGCUUGAAUCCGGGAGAGGGAUGUGGAAUUCCUGGUGUAGCGGUGAAAUGCGCAGAUAUCAGGAGGAACACCAAUGGCGAAGGCAGCUCGCUGGGACGGUACUGACGCUGAGGCGCGAAAGCGUGGGGAGCAAACAGG